UUUAAUAUGGCAGAACUAGUGCAAUGAAUUUAAGAUUCAUAUAUAAAAUAAUUUUUUAUUAAAA
rnacentral:tRNA from 1 species